AGGUAAAAAAUCGGCGUGGUUAGCAGAACGAGUUGGAAAGCUCAGCCAGAGACUGUGAUAGCCAGGUAUGCGAAAACGACGCUGACCUUAUUCUGUAUUCUCGAGUAGGUCGGGGCACGAGAAACCCUGAUUGAAUCCGGCUGGACCACCAGCCAAGGCUAAAUAUAGUAUAUGAUCGAUAGUGAACUAGUACGGUGACGGAAAGGUGAAAAGAACCCCGGGAGGGGAGUGAAAUAGAACCUGAAAUUUUGUGCCUACAAGGAGUCGGAGCCCAGCACCUUUGAAAUCGAGUGGUACAAUGUAGGCGGAUGUUCUACGUGUACGUUUUGCAAAGUGAUCGGGAAUCAGAUCAAAUUUACUUCGGUCAGACCAGUGACUUAAGACGACGUCUCUCGGAGCAUAAUUCUGGCAAGGAUACUUAUACCAAGAUAUAUGCGCCAUGGAAGGUUGUCUAUUAUGAAGCCUAUUCAUCACGUAAGCUAGCAAUGGCCCGUGAGAGGCAGCUGAAAGCUUAUGGACAAGCCAGGACUGCUCUGAAGAAGAGACUAAAUUUGAUCUGAUACUCGAUUUCAAAGGUGCUGGGUGACGGCGUGCUUUUUGUAGAACGAUCCAGCGAGUUAAUUUUUACGGCGAGGUUAAGUCAGAUGACGAAGCCACAGUGAAAGCGAGCAUUAACAGUGCGAUUUAGUCGUAAGGAUUAGACCCGAAACCAGGUGACCUAACCAUGAGCAGGUUGAAGCAACCUUAAUCGGUUGUGGAGGACCGAACCAGUGUAUGUUACAAAAUGCUUGGAUGACUUGUGGUUAGCGGUGAAAUGCCAAUCGAACUUGGAGAUAGCUGGUUCUCCGCGAAAUAGUUAUAGGACUAGCGUCGUGUGAUAGCUUACGGGGGUAGAGCUCUGUCAAGAGAUAGGGGGAGCAAUCCUACCUACUCUUAAUAAACUACGAAUACCGUAUGUCUGUAUCACGGCAGUUAGAACGUCGGUGCUAAGAUCGGCGCUCAAAAGGGAAACAGCCCAGACCAUCAUCUAAGGUCCCCAAAUUUACGCUAAGUGGGAAACAAGGUGGAAUUUCUUAAACAGCUAGGAUGUUGGCUUAGAAGCAGCCAUUCAUUUAAAGAGUGCGUAACAGCUCACUAGUCAAGAGAUUCUGCGUGGAAGAUAUAACGGGGCUAAGCGUAAUACCGAAGAUAUGGAUUGCAAUUUAUUGCAGUGGUAGCGGAGCGUUCCUAUCGGCAGUGAAGCCGGACUGUUAAGUACCGGUGGAGCGUUAGGAAGUGAGAAUGCUGGAACGAGUAACCAUAAGAUAGGUGAGAAUCCUGUCGGCCGAAAGAGCGAGGUUUCCUGGGCUAUGGUAAUCAUCCCAGGGUUAGUCGGGCCUAAGCCGAGGCGUUUAGCGUAGGCGAUGGACAUCAGGUUAAUAUUCCUGAACUAGUCAAACUUUGUAUGCAGUUAGCGAUGAGAUAGGUGGAGCGGAUUCAUGGUUUAUCCGUUCAAGUGAUAGAGGAAUCUUGAUCGAGUAAAAGUGAACCUACGGGUUUACGAUUCCGCUGAAGGCAUUGACCAGAAAAGCUGGCAUACGCAUGGGUUUGGCUACCCGUACCGCAAACCGACACAGGUGCUCGAGUCGAGGAGACUAAGGCUUACGAGAGAAUGAUUGCUAAGGAACUCGGCAAUACAGCGACCGUAACUUCGGAAUAAGGUCUGCCUACAUUUGUAGGCCGCAGCUAAAGAGCCCACGGAACUGUUUAUCAAAAACUCAGGUCUCUGCUAACACGAAAGUGGAUGUAUAGGGGCUGAAACCUGCCCGGUGCCGGAAGGUUAAGGGGAUUGCUUCACGGUGAGAACUGAAGCCCCGGUGAACGGCGGCGGUAACUAUAACCGUCCUAAGGUAGCGAAAUUCCUUGUCAGGU
rnacentral:rRNA from 1 species